AUUCUUUUAUUGUUUUCUUAAAAUUAAGUUUCAUACUGAUCCUUGUGAGUUCACUCAUGCAGUAAAUUUGCGUUUGGAUUGGUUUUUCUUUGAUAGAACUGUGAAUAUAUAAUUCAGUUUUUUUUUUUUUAACUUUCUCUGGUUUUUUAUAAUUCAGUUUUUUUUUUAACUUUCUCUGGUUUUUUAAUCUAGGUGUUUAUAGCAAUAAACUUCAUUUUUAACUCUGUUUUGUGUCUCCUAGAUUCUCCAGUGUUUGGUUUAUUCCUUUAUUUCUUCUGUAAUUGAAUAUUCAGGAGUAUAUUAUUUAAUAUCCUUCUAUUUGUAUGGUUUUGUGGUUUCUUUUAUAAUUGAUUUAUAGUUUUAUUGUGCUAUGAUCUAAUUGUGUGUGUAGCAUGAUUUUAAUCUUUUGCACUUAUUUUGUAGGUUUAAUGGACUAGAAUGUCGUCUAUUUUUGAAAAAGUUCCCUAGACUGCUGAGAAGAAUGUCUGUUCUGUUGUUCAGUAGAACUCUUUGAAGGAACUUCCCGCUCAGUGUGUCACAAGAAGCUCUAGGUCUUAGAAGACUCCUCUAUUCCUUCAAUUUCAAAUCCCCAACCAUCGCUCACUCAAGCUUGCCAGCCCACAGAACUGGUUGGAGUCCUCUUGGCCCUAGUAGACUAUCUCCUAUGUUCAGGAGGGUCAACAGGCAGUGGGCAUGUGGUCCAGGAAUCUCUGCUAGUGGACUCAGCAUCACCCACAGCUCUGGAGUUCAGCAUCUCUCUGCAUUGUGGAGGCUUUCAUUCUAGAUGCUGGGUGGAGGGAUCAAACUCAUGAUGUCCGGCUUGCCAGGCACAUGCUUAUGCUGCUAAGCUAAAUCUCCAGUCCAUGAUCCUGCAUGAAUGGAAUUCAAAUACAUGGUUAAUGCACUGAAGAUACUUACAAUUACCUGACAGAACUCUGUGGUGUCUGUUUCCCUGUCACUGAUAAACUGCUGAUGAUCAUUCAUAUUAGACCAGUUGGCAGCCCGAUACUCUGAUAACUUUACUGUCUUUCAUCUGACACUUUUAUAAUGUUUAUUGUCUUGACUAUUAAAAGGAAUCUUCAAA